CACCACGUAGCUCAACUGGAUGAGUACGACCCUCCGAAGGUCGAGGAUGCAGGUUCGAGUCCUGUCGUGGUGGCCA
rnacentral:tRNA from 1 species